rnacentral:rRNA from 1 species
GGGCCCGCACAAGCGGAGGAACAUGUGGUUUAAUUCGAUGAUACGCGAGGAACCUUACCUGGGCUAGAACGCCGGACGCAUGGGGGGGAAACCCUUCAGCCCGCAAGGGCGGCCGGCGAGGUGCUGCAUGGUUGUCGUCAGCUCGUGCCGUGAGGUGUCGGGUUAAGUCCCAUAACGAGCGCAACCCCUACCGUUAGUUGCCAGCGGGUCAUGCCGGGAACUCUAGCGGAACUGCCAGCGUAAGCUGCGAGGAAGGCGGGGAUGACGUCAAAUCAGCACGGCCCUUACGUCCAGGGCUACACACGUGUUACAAUGGCCGGUACAGAGGGCAGCCACCCCGCGAGGGGGCGCGAAUCCCGAAAGCCGGUCGCAGUUCGGAUCGGAGUCUGGAACCCGACUCCGUGAAGCUGGAUUCGCUAGUAAUCGCGCAUCAGCCAUGGCGCGGUGAAUACGUUCCCGGGCCUU